CUCCAGCUGCUUCAGUACUGAGUCUUGUUGGAAUUCACCCCGGUCCAUCUACAACCCAGAAACGGCCGCUCAGUGGAUUGGAGGACCUAGGAGAAUCGGGGGAGGAUCAGAUACAGAAAAUGGAGCCCGGCUCUCUCUGUGUCCGAAGAGAACCCGAAGAGCUGAGAGGCAGGCCUGCUGGACGUGACAACAGUCUCCAGCACCUCAAGAGAAGGAAUAAACAAGCGAUCCAGACAGAAGGGGGAAUACCUCCUGUUUCCAGUGGAAGGUACGUGCGUGAAAUUUCAUGGGCAUGAGAGAAAGGAAAAGUCUACCUGGCCAGGGGUUGGAUGGGUGUGCGGGGAAGGGAGAAGGAUCCUGGACACCGGUAGCAAAGCAAGCACUGUGCUGUGUGCCCAGGGCCAUAAUCGACACCCCCUGUGAUAGGCAGCAGGGGUGGGGAGGGGUCCAGUGGCCAGGCGGUGCCUCCUUAGCAGGACUCUUACCUGUACU